ACAGCAUCAAGAGAGAAAAUGUGGCUAAAUUAAUUUCUAAACUUAAGUCUUUUAAAUGUUUCUAUACAUAUACAUAUAUUUUGCAGAUUAAAGGAACAAAGGGACAGGUAACACGAGCAGAAAUUCUUCAAGAAGGCCUUCGGGAAUUACUAAACGCGCUUUUCUCUAAUCCUGUGGAUGGUAAUUUGAUAUGCGCGGUCAAACUGCUGAAGUUGGCAGGCUCAGUUUUAGAAGACGCCUGGAAAGAAAAAGGAAAGAAUGAUAUGGAAGAAGUGAUUCAGAGAAUUGAAAAUGUUGUGUUGGAUGCAAACUGUAGCAGGUGAGAAGACAAAUGAAGAGUGAACAUGUCCAAAACAUUAUCUCAAAAACUUCUCUUUGUGAAAAGGUGAUAUUUGGGUCACUUCCCAUGUAACAAAAAAAAAAAACAAAA